rnacentral:rRNA from 1 species
CCCGCUGAACUUAAGCAUAUCAAUAAGCGGAGGAAAAGAAACUAACAAGGAUUCCCCCAGUAACGGCGAGUGAAGAGGGAAGAGCUCAAAUUUGUAAUCUGGCAGUUUUCGACUGUCCGAGUUGUAAAUUAGAGAAGUGUCAUCUGCGUCAGCCUGUGCAAAAGUCUCUUGGAAAAGAGCAUCAUAGAGGGUGACAAUCCCGUCUUUGGCAUGGACCCUGAUGCUGUUGUGAUGCACUCUCGAUGAGUCGAGUUGUUUGGGAAUGCAGCUCUAAAUGGGUGGUAAAUUCCAUCUAAAGCUAAAUAUUGGCGAGAGACCGAUAGCGAACAAGUACCGUGAGGGAAAGAUGAAAAGAACUUUGAAAAGAGAGUUAAACAGUAUGUGAAAUUGUUGAAAGGGAAACGCUUGAAGUCAGUGUUGUCUCUCGGAAAUCGACGCGGCUUUUGGCCCUGCACAUUUUCUGAGUGGACAGGUCAGCAUCAUUUUUGAUCAUUGGAUAAAGGCCUUGGGAAAGUGACAUCCCUUGGAUGUGUUAUAGCCCAUGGUUCAUAUGCAAUGGUUGGGAUUGAGGAACUCAGUGUGACACCUCGGUGUUUGGAGGCUCUAGGGCUUCACAUCCACGCACUUGGGAUGCUGGCAAAAUGGCUUCAAUCGACCCGUCUUGAAACACGG